rnacentral:rRNA from 1 species
CGGGGACUAUUCGACAAUGCGGGAAACCGUGAUCCAGCAAUGCCGCGUGAGUGAAGAAGGCCUCAGGGUUGUAAAGCCCUUUUACCAGGGAUGAUAAUGACAGUACCUGGCGAAUAAGCCCCGGCUAACUCCGUGCCAGCAGCCGCGGUAAUACGGAGGGGGCUAGCGUUGUUCGGAAUUACUGGGCGUAAAGCGCGCGUAGGCGGCUUUUCAAGUCAGGGGUGAAAUCCCGGGGCUCAACCCCGGAACUGCCCUUGAAACUGGAUGGCUAGAAUCUUGGAGAGGUGAGUGGAAUUCCGAGUGUAGAGGUGAAAUUCGUAGAUAUUCGGAAGAACACCAGUGGCGAAGGCGACUCACUGGACAAGUAUUGACGCUGAGGUGCGAAAGCGUGGGGAGCAAACAGGAUUAGAUACCCGUGUAGUCC